GACGAACGCUGGCGGCGUGCCUAAUACAUGCACGUACAACGCAGUUGCGAACGGGGGAGUAACGUGUCGGUAACUGCCCCAUAGCGGGGGAUAACUAUUGGAAACGAUAGCUAGUACCGCAUACUGUGAGAUGGACAUGCGUUGUAUUAGCUAGUUGGUGAGGUAAAGGCUCACCAAGGCGACGAUACGUAGCCGGCCUGAGAGGUUGAUCGGCCGCACUUGGACGGAGACACGGCCCAGACUCCGACGGGGGGCAGACGUAGGGAGUAUUCGGUAAUGGACGGAUGUCUGACCGGGGAACGCCUCGUGAGUGAAGGAGGUUUUCGCAUGGUAAAGCUCUGUUGUUAGAGAAGCGGUAGCUAACCAGAAAGGGACGACUGACUACGUGCCAGCAGCCGCGGUAAUUC
rnacentral:rRNA from 1 species